AGGGUUUCUCAUUCUCAUAGCAUUUUAUCCGCCCCCAUCUGCUUUAUCUCCACCAGGCGAUUCAAAAGGAGAUCUAGGGUUUCUCUUGGCGAUGGCUUUCUCAAUGACACCAGAUCAGCGAAUCUCUCUCUAUACGACACCCAAUCGACUGAGUUUGAAGGUGGUGAAGGGUUUGGAUCUGCCAAUCAGUGACGUAUGAGCAAGAUUAUUGUUGUUAGGGGGUGUUUGGUCUGCUAAUCGGUGAUGUAUGUGCGAGAUUUCACAAGAUCUAAAGACGGCGUGGUGUGUAGUGUUAAAUCCGACGACUACGGUUCCGGUGGUAUAAUUCUCAAGCCGAUCGGUGGCAAUAGAGACGAGUUCCGACAAAUUGAGUUGCAGAUCUAGGUUUCACCAGUUGGCUUAGGCGAUACUGCAUCAUCAAAAUGGAUGGUUUCUGAAUGGAGAUCCCUAAAGGUACUUGCAUUGUUCUCAGAUCUCAGUAUAGGAUGGGUUUUUAGUUUAAAUGAGUCAUUUUGUUUAACUGGUUAUGAUUUGUGGGUGUUUGAAUUAACAGUUUCUAUGUGGAGGCACUGACUUUUUGGUAAUUUUAUUUGUUGUGUUCUGUUUAUAAUGCUUAAUUUUAUUUUUGUAAUGUUAUUUCAGUUUUGGAAAUUACAUUUUUGUUAUUUUAUCUGCAGUGUUCGGUUUAUAAUGCUUAAUUGCUUGUGAGGUGAUAAUGCAUUGAUAAUGAUACUCUGUGCUAAUGUUAUUUCAAGUUUGGUUUAAGAUAUCAAUUUCUCCUGAGGUUACAUCAAAGACCAAAUGCAGAUAAAUCAUGAAAUUUCUCAGCUUUCUGUAUCGGGCUUCACACCUCGGAAAUUUGUUGUUAGCUUAUGAUGGAAGGAAGAGUGCGUUUGUUGCGGGUCCAUUGCCCUUUUGAGUCUAAAGAUUCGCAAUUAAAAUUACUGAGCAUGAUGGUCUGAAUUGGCAACACCAGCUUUGUAAAAACCCAAAGUCGAACCCGGACAUCAAAACACUGUUUGUUGAUCAUUCUUAUUGGCAGUCGCAGCCAAAUGGUGCACGGGCCCCAUCACCAGUAACUAAUCCAUUAAUGGGCUCUGUACCAAAGCCUGCAGGCUUUCCACCUCUGGGUGCUCACGGUCCUUUCCAGCCUGCACCUGCACCUCUGCCAUCAUCUCUUGCUGGUUGGAUGGCAAACCCAUCUGUGCCUCAUCCGUCAGUUUCUACAGUCCCUAUUGGGUUUACCCCGCCUAAUAAUGCUGGAAAAUCAUACCACGAUAUUGUUGGCAGUGCGUAUUAUGUUGCUUCAUAAGUGUUGAAGCAGAAAUACGGGAAGGUAAUUGACAUACAAAAUGCAUGGUGAUGCUGUAAAUUAUGCUUAGUGUCGUGCCUCCCUCAUGGGCAGAGACAGAGGAAAAGGCAUAUUUGAUGCUAUAUUAGAAGGAUAUAUCAACUUCGAAAGUGACCUGUGGCCAUCUGUUCCAAAAGAUAAGAUAAAGAGAGGCCUGAUGCUGUAAGAACUGAGCCAGUUUUCAGAGACAACAAAAGGGCAUGUGUACUGGAGGUUAAAAGGGUGUUCUGAGAAGCCUGGUAUUCUUGAAGAUAUAGGAACUGGGGAUCAUACAGUUGAAGCAGCUGACAAAUGGUUUGAGUAUGGUGAUGAACAGAUGGAUUUGAUUGAAAAACACAUAAAUGUUAUGAGGAUCCAUGUCGGCCCGGUGUCCGAGAUGCUGUCCAACUGUGCGUAAAGGCCCGUGUUAAGGUAAGAAUGGUGAUGGGUGACAAUCUUCAAACCACCAAGGCAAUUGCGUUAGAAUGCGGUAUACUUAGGUUAGAUGCGGACGCUACCAAGCCAAACCUAAUUGAAGGGAAGUCCUUCCGUGCAAUGUCGGAUGCACAAAGACUCGAAGUAGCUGAGAGGAUAUCAAAUGUGGUAUACAAAUACAGGAAAUGAACCUACGAGUGGAGGCAGAUCUACCAGGCAAUCAACUCGACAAUUAUUACAAAAUUAUAUAUCAUUCUCUCCCAAAAAAGCAUCCGAGAUUCAGCAACUACAGACACAAGUAUAAUUUUCAGAAACAUUUGGAAGAAUACAAUGUUCUAUCAUCUGCUAUAGGUGGCAAUUGAAGCUGCAACUUGCAGAAUUCCUAACUAAGGUGAAUGUUUGGUACUUUGGUUCGUAUCUUGUUGUGUUCAAAAUGUUUUUUGUUACACUUGAUGUGGAUAUUGGAUGUGAAUUAUCUAAGCCUGUGUAUCUUGUUGCGAUUUAUAGAAAAAUCAAAAUUUGGCUUU